rnacentral:rRNA from 1 species
GACAGAGGUGCCAAGCGUUAGGCGGAAUCACUGGGCUUAAAGCGUGUGUAGGCGGGUCGUUAAGUACCUUGUGAAAUCCCACGGCUCAACCGUGGAACUGCUCGGUAUACUGGCGAUCUUGUGCCACUUAGGGGCUAGCGGAACAAACGGUGGAGCGGUGAAAUGCGUAGAUAUCGUUUGGAACGCCAAUGGUGAAAACAGCUAGCUGGGAGUGUGCCGACGCUGAGACACGAAAGCCAGGGGAGCGAACGGG